GAAAUGCGAUAAGUAGUGUGAAUUGCAGAAUUCAGUGAAUCAUCGAAUCUUUGAACGCACAUUGCGCCCCUUGGUAUUCCAUGGGGCAUGCCUGUUCGAGCGUCAUUUGUACCCUCAAGCUCUGCUUGGUGUUGGGUGUUUGUCCCGUCUCCGCGCGUGGACUCGCCCCAAAGUGAUUGGCAGCCGGCGUACUGGGCCCGGAGCGCAGCACAUGUCGCGCAAACGAGUGCCUUGGUACGGCGGCGUCCAUAAGCCCCUCUCUCACGCUCUUGACCUCGGAUCAGGUAGGGAUACCCGCUGAACUUAAGC
rnacentral:misc_RNA from 1 species